UAUGACUUUAGUACGAGAGGACCGAGUCGUACGUACCGCUGGUGUAUCUGUUGUGCCGCCAGGUGCAAUGCAGAGUAGCUAUGUACGGACAGGAUAAACGCUGAAAGCAUCUAAGCGUGAAACCUACUUCAAGAUGAGUUUACUUUUAAGGGUCGUCGAAGACUACGACGUUGAUAGGCUAUAGGUAUAAAGGUGGUAACAUCAAAGCCGAGUAGUACUAAUUGCCCGUAAGCUUUAUUUUU
rnacentral:rRNA from 1 species